rnacentral:rRNA from 1 species
UUAUUGUUUUUUUUUUAUACUUUAGCUUUUUGUUUAAGUAUUUAAGGGUAAUUAUUUUUAAAUUCUUUAAAGAUAAUUUCUGGCAAAUGUUAUUUAUGAUUUUGUCAUAGGUAAUAUUAUUUUAUUUGGUUUAUUUUUUUAUUCAUUUAAAGGUUUAAACCUAAAUAUUAUAAUUAAUGCUUUGUAGUUUUAAUUUAGAAUUAUUAUUAUUCUUUUCUAUUUUAUUAACUGAAUUUUUUUUUCAGGCUGACGUAAUAGUAUCGAUUUUGUCGAAUAAAGUUCUAGGUAUUUUGGUUGAUUAUGACAACCUAAUAUCUAUAUGUCUUGACCAAAUUACGUGCCAGCAGUCGCGGAAAUACGUAAAAGACUAGUGUUAUUCAUCUUUAAUAGGUUUAAAGGGUCCGUAGACGGUAAAUUUUCAUCUUAUACUGAUAUGUUUUUACUAGAGUUUUAUAUGAGGAGGCGAGUAUUCAUGGAGUAGAGUUGAAAUUCUUUGAUCCCAUGACGACUGGUAAAGGCGAAAGCAACCUUUUAUUUAUUAACUGACGUUGAGGGACGAAGGCUCGGGUCGCGAACAGGAUUAGAUACCCUAGUAGUCCAAGCAGAAAAUUAUGAAUGCCAUAGGUUAGACAUUUGUUUGGCCUAUAAAUGAAAGUGUAAGCAUUUCACCUCAAGAGUAAUGUGGCAACGCAGGAACUGAAAUCAUUAGACCGUUUCUGAAACCAGUAGUGAAGUAUGUUAUUUAAUUCGUAGGUACGCGAAAAACCUUACCACAAUUNGAAUAUAUCUUAUUAAUCGUAAACAACCUUUUUUUUUAGGGAGUUGCCAUUUUUGGCAUAGAGGUAAGAUAAUACAAGUGUUGCACGGCUGUCUUCAGUUAAUGUCGUGAGAUAUGGGUUUAUUCCUUUAAAUUAACGGAAGCCCUUGCUUUAUUUGUAUCUUUUUUUUGGAUAAAUAAAGCAGUUCACCUGUAUAAGGGAUAUGAUAAUA